rnacentral:tRNA from 1 species
GCAGUGGUUGUUCAGUGGUAGAUUUCUCACCUUCCAUGUGGGAAAUCAGGGUUCAAUUCCAGGCCAAUGCA